rnacentral:lncRNA from 1 species
AUUGAAAAUUCAGCUUUUGCCUAGCCCUGAGUCCUGAAGAGUUUCUCCUAUAUAGUUUUCUAGUAAUUUUUGUCUAAAGUUUUUGUCUAAAAAAUCAGCUGACAAUCCCUAACAAUCAGUUGUUUGCCAGGUGAUUAGCUGCCUCUCUACCUUCCUCAUGGUCCAGUAAACUGCAGGAACGUAUGGAAUCAUUCACACUUAGCUUGUGCUGGGCCAGGCCGCGCAUGUCACCUUGGGUUUCGCUGGCCGCUGACAAGACCUCAAGCUGCCAAGAGCUGCCGCACUAUCCUUCCCCGGCUCCCAUUUUAAUGGAAGGGGUCGCUGGCAGGGCCAGGAGUUUAAGAGCAUGCCCCUUAUUCAGCUUUAUCUCAGCAAGUAUUCAUAGUUUUAGAGUUGCAAGGGACCUUCUCAAAGGGAACAGGCUAAAACCAAGGAAUGUUCAAUGAUUUUUUUCCAAUUUAUAGAAUCUUCAGCUUCUGACUCCCAGGCUGAGCUCUUUUCAUUGUCCCCACAAAGCACCAGCCAGUGGACUACUGGUCACUCCUCCUGGCCUGCCGCAGCCUCUGUCCCAUAACAGGGAGCAAACAGCUGUGGUGGCUCAGAGAAUCCGCCAGGUUGUAGCAAUUUAAUCCAGUGCUCUCAUGAGGAUCUGCUGCGAGCAUCUCAUGCAGGGGCUCCGAGCUGCCAGCUUUCCCUCCGAGCUGCCUUCAGCGUCCUGUCCUCGCCCUCACAGCCUAGGAGUUGUAGGUCCUUCUGGUUGUGCUAUGUGGGACCCUGCCUCAGCAUGGUUUGAUGAGCGGUGCCAUGUCCACACCCAGGAUCCGAACUAGUGAAACCCUGGACCGCUGAAAUGGAGUGUGCAAACUUAACCACUCCACCAUGGGGCCAGCCCCACAACUAAUUGUUUAGUAUAAUCUUUACUCUGAAACUUUUCUUAGGUAGUAAUAUAUAUGUGUAUACUUGUAAAUGCCAAUUUGCUCUUCUGUGAGGCAACUGAAUGAGUAAAGGACAAAUGAAAGAAUAAAAUCACUGAAACCAAGAAAUUUGGCCUUUAGACAAUUAGCUACUCUUAAUCUCCCAAAAAGUUUCAUGAGAAAGUAAACCAAGAAAAUACCACUUGCACCUGCCCAGGAGCUAUUUUCGGUAGGGGCUUUUUUGGGAUUGUAGUCCAUCCAAAGAAGGUUACUUGAAUUUAAUGUUUUAAAUCAUUUCUCAACUUCUUCAUAUUGUCCACAGAGACACAGUGUUCGGUGAAGAACCUCAAAGUGAAUCAUUUUAAAAUAAAUUCCCUCUUGACUUUUACAUGGCCAGAAAUUUUCCUCUUGGUGCAGUUGCACCUUCAUUUUUCGAAAAAUUGAAGCGUAAUAUUUAGGACAAAUUUAGGGUCCUUAUAAACAUUUGAAAUUAC